ACGAACGCUGGCGGCGUGCUUAACACCUGCAAGUCGAACGGAAAGGCCCUGCUUUUGUGGGGUGCUCGAGUGGCGAACGGGUGAGUAACACGUGAGUAACCUGCCCUUGACUUUGGGAUAACUUCAGGAAACUGGGGCUAAUACCGGAUAGGAGCUCCUGCUGCAUGGUGGGGGUUGGAAAGUUUCGGCGGUUGGGGAUGGACUCGCGGCUUAUCAGCUUGUUGGUGGGGUAGUGGCCUACCAAGGCUUUGACGGGUAGCCGGCCUGAGAGGGUGACCGGCCACAUUGGGACUGAGAUACGGCCCAGACUCCUACGGGAGGCAGCAGUGGGGAAUAUUGCACAAUGGGCGGAAGCCUGAUGCAGCAACGCCGCGUGCGGGAUGACGGCCUUCGGGUUGUAAACCGCUUUCGCCUGUGACGAAGCGUGAGUGACGGUAAUGGGUAAAGAAGCUCCGGCUAACUACGUG
rnacentral:rRNA from 1 species